GUGCUCGCUUCAACAGGACAAAUACUCAAAUUGGAACGAUACAGAGAAGAUUAGCAUGGCCUUUGUUCAAGGAUGAAAUGCAAAUGUGUGAAGUGUCUCAUAUUUUC